GUAAGAUAGUGAGUGUACCAGUUUGGCUGGCACCUUUAGAGAACCUUCCUAGGAGCCCUGAUUCAAAAGCUUGCAAGCAGAAGUCUCCCGAACCACCUUUAGCUAUGUGGGAGGAUGGGAAAUACAGCCUGUGAGCUGCCAGGAACAAAAUAAGGGUUGUCAUGAAAAAUGAAGAAGGGCCAAAUGGAUAUCAGUUCUGGAGGCAGGAAGUCGAGAUCAAGAAGUUGGGACUUGGUUUCUUCUGACGACUCUCUCCUUGCCUCGUAGAUGGUAUCUCAGCACGAGGUCUUCACAGGAUCUUCCCUCUGGUUUCAGGGACAGUAUGUUGAAAAGUAAGAAGCAAAACCAAGAAGCAAAUCAAGUACAACAGUCUUCUGGGAAACAAAUAAUGGUCCUUGAACUUCUCCACUGCCACAAGACACUGUAGCGAAGAGGCGCUUUAACCAACC